rnacentral:rRNA from 1 species
GUGGGGAAUAUUGGACAAUGGGCGCAAGCCUGAUCCAGCCAUGCCGCGUGAGUGAUGAAGGCCUUAGGGUUGUAAAGCUCUUUCACCGAUGAAGAUAAUGACGGUAGUCGGAGAAGAAGCCCCGGCUAACUUCGUGCCAGCAGCCGCGGUAAUACGAAGGGGGCUAGCGUUGUUCGGAUUUACUGGGCGUAAAGCGCACGUAGGCGGUUUGUUAAGUCAGAGGUGAAAUCCCGGAGCUCAACUCCGGAAGUGCCUUUGAUACUGGCAAGCUAGAGUCCGGAAGAGGGAAGUGGAACUCCUAGUGUAGAGGUGGAAUUCGUAGAUAUUAGGAAGAACACCAGUGGCGAAGGCGGCUUACUGGUCCGGAACUGACGCUGAGGUGCGAAAGCGUGGGGAGCAAACAGGAUUAGAAACCCGAGUAGUCC